rnacentral:lncRNA from 1 species
ACAAAAAAUUCUUGGCUUUUCCAAAAUAGAUAGUGGAAAAUCCCUUCAUCCCUAUUCUAUCUUAGCAAAUCAGAUUCAAUUACGUCAUCCCGGAUUUGGGUUUGUACAGGUCCAGGGUUGCGUUCAAUAUCGUAGUGGCUACUUAGGGAUAUGCAGAUUUAUGACUAUUGAACGUGUAGCUAGCCUAGCUGCAACAUAGAUAUUGAUAGCAGCUAGGCUAGCUACUCGUUCAGUAGACAAAAAUCUAUGUAGCACUACG